rnacentral:rRNA from 1 species
CAUGUGUAGCGGUGAAAUGCGUAGAUAUAUGGAGGAACACCGGUGGCGAAAGCGGCUCUCUGGUCUGUCACUGACGCUGAGGCUCGAAAGCGUGGGUAGCGAACAGGAUUAGAUACCCUGGUAGUCCACGCCGUAAACGAUGAGUGCUAGGUGUUAGGCCCUUUCCGGGGCUCAGUGCCGGAGCUAACGCAAUAAGCACUCCGCCUGGGGAGUACGACCGCAAGGUUGAAACUCAAAGGAAUUGACGGGGGCCCGCACAAGCGGUGGAGCAUGUGGUUUAAUUCGAAGCAACGCGAAGAACCUUACCAGGUCUUGACAUCCCGAUGCUAUUCUUAGAGAUAGGAAGUUACUUCGGUACAUCGGAGACAGGUGGUGCAUGGUUGUCGUCAGCUCGUGUCGUGAGAUGUUGGGUUAAGUCCCGCAACGAGCGCAACCCUUAUUGUUAGUUGCCAUCAUUAAGUUGGGCACUCUAGCGAGACUGCCGGUAAUAAACCGGAGGAAGGUGGGGAUGACGUCAAAUCAUCAUGCCCCUUAUGACCUGGGCUACACACGUGCUACAAUGGUCGGUACAACGAGUUGCGAGCCGGUGACGGCAAGCUAAUCUCUGAAAGCCGAUCUCAGUUCGGAUUGGAGGCUGCAACUCGCCUCCAUGAAGUCGGAAUCGCUAGUAAUCGCGGAUCAGCACGCCGCGGUGAAUACGUUCCCGGGCCUUGUACACACCGCCCGUCACACCACGAGAGUUUGUAACACCCGAAGUCGGUGAGGUANCCUUUUAGGG